rnacentral:misc_RNA from 1 species
CCGCUUGUUACCUUUGUGCGGGAUGACGUGAUCGACCACAUUGGCAAUGCGACCGCAGCCGCAGGAACAGUGACUGUUGCCGGGUAGUGCGAGGAACAUCCUGCUUUCACGCUGCCACUUGGAGUCGUAUCCANGGUGCGCAGUAGGCCUGCGCUGGUCAGCUUCCGCCUUACGGCGUUGCUGGCAUUGGCAAAGAAUGCCAAACGCGACCUUGUGGCCGCAGCUACAGAUGCGUGGUGCUUUCAUCGGCAUCAGGGCAUCCUCUGCACAGUGAGGUCGCC